GCUCACUAGUCGAGUCGGCCUGCGCGGAAGAUGUAACGGGGCUAAAACUAUAUGCCGAAGCUGCGGAUUUGCAAUUUAUUGCAAGUGGUAGGGGAGCGUUCUGUAAGCCGAUGAAGGUGUAUUGAGAAGUAUGCUGGAGGUAUCAGAAGUGCGAAUGCUGACAUGAGUAACGACAAUGCGAGUGAAAAACUCGCACGCUGAAAGACCAAGGGUUCCAGUCCAACUUUAAUCGGGGCUGGGUGAGUCGACCCCUAAGGCGAGGCCGAGAGGCGUAGUCGAUGGGAAAUUGGUUAAUAUUCCAAUACUUCUAUGUAAUGCGAUGAGAGGACGGAGAAGGUUAAGUCAGCCUGGCGUUGGUUGUCCAGGUGGAAGGUUGUAGGCAUGUAUCUUAGGCAAAUCCGGGGUACUGUAUGCUGAGAACUGAUAGCAAGCUGUACUUGUACAGUGAAGUGGCUGAUACCAUGCUUCCAGGAAAAGUUUCUAAGCUUCAGUUACAUAGGAAUCGUACCCGAAACCGACACAGGUGGUCAGGUCGAGUAGACCAAAGCGUUUGAGAGAACUCUG
rnacentral:rRNA from 16 species